rnacentral:lncRNA from 1 species
ACACUGGAUUUUCUCAGUACAAGGCAUCUCGGCAAAGAACAUGCUCUAAUGUCUCAUUAAUUUUCCAAGCAAAUGCUCUGAGGCUUCAGGUACAGAGCCUGGCACACUGUCAACUUGGAGCCUCUGAGGAUGGAUGUGUGAACCAACAGGAACCACACACACAGGAGAAGAAAUCCCACCUGACAACAUGUGACAGGUCUGCCAGCCGUGUAUGUGACAACAAACUCACAUGGGCUUGUGUACACACACCACAAAACACACUUCUCAAUCCACCUGACUGGGGCAGCUAUGAAAGCUGCAGGGUGGGCCCAGCAGAGGCCUACAGAGAUCACGGGAACGUUCUGCCCACUGGACGUGUUCCACGUGUCAGAGGACUCAAGCCAUGGCCUUCCCGCUUCCACCUGCUUCUUUUCAGCAAAAAGUGCCUUUCACCACAAAACGUCCAUAAGUCUAAGACGAUGACUUUUCCCCACAAGGUAUCAGUGCAGAAAGACAAAAUAUUUCAUGGGGGCUCCAUAACAGGGCCUCUGAGAGGUAUGCAGCGUAAUUUAAGUUUCAUCAUGAACGAUUAUGCUCACAGAAAGCCUGCUGUCAGUCUGUCUUCCCACCUGCAGGGGCUGUAGUUCAAGCAGCAGCUUCAAGGUUUCUAAGACAGUCCUGACUUUUAAAUGUUCCUCCAAGAAGUUCCCGUAUGGUUCAACGGGUUAAGAACCUGACAUAGCGUCCGCAAGGAGGCAGGUUUGCUCCCUCCCGCUCAGUGGGUUAAGGAUCUGGCAUGGCCAUGAGCUGCAGCAUGGGUCACAGAAGUGGCUCAGAUCCUGCAUUGGCCAUGGCUAUGGGGUAGGUCUCAGCUGUCGCUUCAAUUCAACCCCUAGCCUGGGAACUUCCAUAUGCAGCAGAUGUGGCCCUAAAAAGACAAAAAAAAAGUUCCCCUUUCUCCAUCUCCAUGUAAUGUACACCCUGGUUUAGGAUUGAAAUGGUUACUAUAACUCAAAGGUUCUCACUGAUGCAAUCCCAUCCCCCCAGGGGACAUCUGGCAAGGUCUGGGUGAGGUGAGGCAGGGACUGGGGCAGGGGAGGGGUGCUACUGGCACGUGAUGGGUAGACCUCAGAGAUACUCUCAUGACAAAGAAUGUUCUGGUCCCUGAUGUCAGGAGUAUCAAGGGGCUGAAGCCCUACAUAACCAGAAGGCUUAAGAAGGAAAUGCUAAGAAAGCCUUAAAAUCAAACUCCCAGAGUUCCUGUUGUGGUGCAGUAAUAACAAAGCUAACUAGCAACCAUGAGGUCAUGGGUUCAAUCCCUGGCCUUGCUCAGUGGGUUAAGGAUCUGGCUCAGUGGGUUAAGGAUCUGGAGUUGCCAUGAGCUGUGGUAUAGGUAGAAGAUGCAGGUCAGAUCUGGCAUUGGGCCCAGGCAGCUAUAGCUGUGAUUCAACCUCUAGCCUGAAAACUUUCCAUAUGCCACACAUGCAGCCCUAAAAAGAAAAGAAGAAAAAAAAAAAAACCCAGACAUCCUGGAUGGGGGCAAUGGUGAACCAAGCAAAGGCAAGAAGGAGGGGGUGUCCAGGACCAGACCAGUCCCGGGUCAGCAUUUGGUAGCAAAGGACAAAAACUAUCAAAGAAAAGGAUUAGUCGGGGUUCCUCUGUAGACCCCAAAAGAAAGAACAGCAGACUAGACCACAAAACGACCCCCCUUCAAUUUGUACUUUAAAUAAUGUGACCCCCAAAACCAUAUAUAUGACAAAAACAACUGAGAAGGCAGCAUUUGGGGGCCUCAAAAAAAAAAAUCCCCACUCACUGCAAGACACUAAACACAUAAAGUUUGCCAAAACCAACUCGGAAGAGUCAGGGUCCCAUGGACCCCUCACGAAAGGUGAGAACUGCAAGCACAGGGGAACUUCUGUUUCUAAAAAGAACCGCCAAGGCCCUGAGGCCACAUCAGCCCCCUCCCCCCACCCCCAUGUCACACUCAUGCUCACGUGUGCAGGUCACUGGUGGUGGCUCGCUCAACUUGGAAUUUCCAGACUUCUGUUUUCUAAACGUUUGAUCAAGGCUUAAAAAUUAAUAUAGGUUUGAGCUCCUGUUGCAGUGCAGCAGAAACGAAUUCGACUAGAAACCAUGAGGUUUCGGGUUCGAUCCCUGGCCUUGCUUAGUGGAUAAAGGAUGUAGUGUUGCCCUGAGCUAUGGUGUAGGUCACAGACAUGGCUUGGAUCCCACGCUGCUAUGGCUGUGGUGUAGGCCGGCAGCUGUAGCUCCGAUUGGACCCCUAGCCUGGAAACCUCCCUAUGCUGCGGGUGCAGCCCUAAGAAGAAAAAAAAUAAAAUAAAAUAAAUUAAUAUAGGUUAAUGUUGGCAGCAAAUGUGAGGCCUUUAUUUCAAUAGCUUUUUUUUUAGCCUGACCCUAACUGGAACAUGAUUGAGACACAGCCAAGCCCAUGUCUUCACACAGACACCCCCUCUGGCCCUCAGACACCCCGCAUCUCUGAGCACAUAUUACAAGAUGUGACCCAGGGCCUCACCUUUACAUAAGAGCAACUCUGCCUUCUGGGAAUGUAUUUGAAAGUUCACCAAAAUGCUAACGGAAUGACUGGCCUUUCUUCUGCAAACCGCUUAUUUGUUUAUGCUUAUGAAAACACAUCAUUCACAGGUCAGCAGCAUAAGAUGACAGACCUCAACCUACAGUCUGUUCAGAUGCCAGCUCAUUUGCUGUGCAACCUCGGACAAGCUACUCAGCCUCUCUGAGCCUCUGAGCCUCACCACGUAUGUAAACUGCGUUAAUGAUCCAUGUUAGGGGAGAGGGGAGGACACACAAGGAGAAGGAUGGUAACAAGAUGUAAUAGGAAGCAUUUGAGUAAAACGGGCUAAAAUCCUAACUCUCUUCCCCAGGCGCCAAUCCCUGCUCACUGCUCACCACCCACAAACCUCAAUUAGGGGUCCUCAUCCCCAGAUUCUCAGCUCUACGAGAAGAAGGACCUCGUUGGUCUUAUGCACCAAGGCCAAGGCCACGUUUAGGGCAGGGCUCAGCACUCACAGACACUCAGUAACUACAGAUGGAAUGGACAGAUAAUGAAAGUAACCCUGAGCAAAGGGCUCUCUUUCCUUCUCUGUAAGAUGCAAGAGCCAUCUCCCCCACCCCCCGUGAGUAUGAGGAUUAAAUGAACUAGUGGAUGGGAAGGUGCCAGGGCGGGGCCUCCACACGGGUGCUGUUAAGGAGCCAUCCACCCCACACUGGGCUCAGAGGAGACCGCAAACAGAAGUGGGCUUUGCAACGGUCACAUGUGUGCACACACUCAGGUGGCAUUCUCGUUUUCUCCUCCAUGCACAAGAGUAUGCGGAGCCGCACUUCUAAGCACCAGGUGGCCGGCCCCUUGGUCCCCCAGGGAGACACAGGGCGGGGUGGGGCCGGCCAGCUCAGACCAGAACCAAGGCUGCUGGACCACAAGCACCACAGUCACCCAAGAGGUCUGAGGAUCAGCUCCACACACGAAUACGUCCCUGGUUCCCCUGCACCUGUCUCCACCCGGGCCGUCGAGAGGGGGCUCAAAACACAAGGUGGGUCCGCGAAAGGGAGGCAAAGGGAGGGGAAGAAAACCAAACUCUCAAAACUAAAAUUUCCGGUAGCUCCUGACCGGAAAGCUGCUAAAGUCUUACACGAACAGUCCCGAGUUUUCACCUAGCCAGAGACGUCCCACCAUCCUUCUGCGCUAAUUUCUUCUGCUCAGCUCCAAGUGGCAGAAACCAGAAAGGCUUAACUCUCAAAAGACAUCCAAGGUCACCCAUUAGAAUUGAGGGCAAAAGGGAAUAGUGCAGAGAGCAUGGCAAAGGGCAGGUUCAAGGCCAGCUCUGCCACUGCUCACCGAGAGGCCCCCAGACACCCUCAGAACCUCCCCAGGACCCAGUCUCCCCAGCUGUCAAAUUAAGGAGGUUCCAAGGAUACCCUUCUGGAUCAAAAGUGGUCUAUGUGCAUCAGAAGCCAGCUGGAAAAUCCAGUUCAUGCCCUGAGCCUAAAAGCUCUCUCUCCGAACCCCAAGUCCCAUCGCUUGCAGCAGAAAAGGCAAAGCUGGAUGCGUAUCUUCAAAGUGCUGCUCAGAGCCCACCCACUGCCAGGGUAAGAAGCAUUAUCCAGGGAGGAAAGAAGCGGGGUCCCAGAAGGAAAAGGAAAAUUCUGAAAGGUGCUAAGGGAGGGAGUGAGAUCACUGCCAGCAUCUAAGGAAUCCUCCACAGUCUCAGCAACUACUUAAGGAGAACUCACUGCAGCCAGGCCCUGUCAGAGGCUAAGGACGUGGCCGGCAUGGCUUGUCCUAGGCCUCCAGUCACUGCGGAAGUUCAUCUGGCCCUUUCCUCCCGUAUGGCUUUGGUCGAGAAAGGCCUGCCUCUCGACCUUUUGACAGGCAGUAGAAGGAAUAACAGCCUUGGGAGAGUAGUUGAGUUCCAAGGACUUUAUGAUCUUAAAUAAGUCUUCGUUUUCUCAUGUCUGAAAUCAGGUAGAGAACUACCUGACCCAACCUCUUUACCUUCCAGGUUCCGGUAACAGGAACCAAAAUCCCAUUGAUUCGUGUGAAAGCAUUAUGCAAAUGAGCUAUUCCUUUCUCCGCCCACAGCAAGCCAGCCAGUUUGGGAGAUGCCUUAGCACAGGCUGAAAGUCAUGGGCAGCCAUCCUAGCCCCAGCCCCUGGUCCUGGGUCAUUCAAUUCUUCUUAUGCCCCCACCAGCCAUCCUGCCUAACCUCAGAGCAGCUGCGAAUGUGCCCAACCCCACAGCAGCCCCCACUGGAGAUCACGCCUCCCUCACCCUCCCAGGUGGGACCCAGUGAGGAAGUCAACCCUGCGUCCAGCUGGGCGAGGAACCAGUCCAACCUCACUUGAGCAAGAAGCGUAUUUGCCUCAAAACAAACACAAGUGAAAAGCACACGUGUGGACCUCCCUCUCCCAGCGAAGGCCAAGGCCAAGGCGGCCCACAGGCCAGGACAUCAGAUUCCCCCACCUUUCCCACAGGGCCAGUCCCCCAGGUAGAAGAAAGUGAGCCUAGCAUUGAGAAGCCCUCUGGGCUAAGGGAUCUCUUGGUUCUGGAACUUUCCAGAGCAUCGAAGCAACAGAGAGGAUUAAGCUUCCCUCCAGAGGGAGGGGGGCAGGGAUGCACAACUGCCCUUCUGAAUAGGCCCAGGGUUUCUCCCACCUGCCCACCAACAUGGAUCUGAAAGCCACUUACAAGCUAUAAGAUCCUGGGGACUGGCCCUCGCUAAGCCCCCACUUCCUCAACCCACGGGAUGGCUAUGAGGCUGAAGUUUGGAGCUGGCACAGAGCAAGCCCUCAAUGAACGGCAGCUCUGAGUCAACCACCGUUGAGCCCCUUCCCAGAUCCCACCCCCACGGACCUCAAGGUCCAUGUCACUGGACCUCACCAAUUGUGACAUAGCCCUCUUGACAAGGAGGAAAGAAAAAAAAAAAA